CCUACGGGCGGCAGCAGUGGGGAAUAUUGGGCAAUGGGCGCAAGCCUGACCCAGCAACGCCGCGUGAAGGAAGAAGGCUUUCGGGUUGUAAACUUCUUUUCUCAGGGACGAAGAAAGUGACGGUACCUGAGGAAUAAGCCACGGCUAACUACGUGCCAGCAGCCGCGGUAAUACGUAGGUGGCAAGCGUUAUCCGGAUUACUGGGUGUAAAGGGCGGGGAGGGGGGAAAGCAAGUCAGAUGUGAAAACCAUGGGCUGAACCUGUGGCCUGCAUUUGAAACUGUUUUUCUUUGUUACUGGAGAGGCAGACGGAAUUCCGCGUGUCGCGGUGAAAUGCGUAGAUAUGAGGAGGAACACCAGUGGCGAAGGCGGUCUGCUGGACAGCAACUGACGCUGAGGCGCGAAAGCGUGGGGAGCAAACAGGAUUAGAUACCCUUGUAGUC
rnacentral:rRNA from 1 species